CCUGCUACAUGCACAUUUUACUAAUGCAGACUGAUAUAUCAAUGACCAAAUUAAGGCAAAAUUAUUUACUGGCUAUUCUUUGUCAUAGUCUCAUCUUUUAGCCUCCCACAGAGACAGUAAAGGACAGUUGGUGUCAUGCCUCCAUGGAUCAAGAGGCAAAAUAAAUAUACAUAAAUUCCAGCAUGACCCAUCUCUCCAAUUAGACAAUUCCAGAGCAAGAGAAGUGUUGGAAGAGGAAUAACAGAAAAGUGUAGUAAGAGGUGCCUUUCUCACAGAAGAAAAGAACAGGAUGAAACAGAGAAAUGGAAACUGACAAGCAGAAUUAUUGUUUGCUGUGUAACAGUGUGAGUCCAACGCACAGUGACAUAAAAGAACCUACAAAAGUGAAGGAGAUGGAUGAAAAAGCUAGUAUCAAUGUGACAAGACAAUGAAAUGCACCAUCCAUAAGAGUGGGAUGUGGGGAGGCAUUCUGGAAAGAAAUUAUUCAUGGAAGUCAGAGAACAGUAUGAAAUAGAACAAGUGGCAAGAAAGGGAAAUUCUUAGCCCUUUAAAACAGAAUGAGAAGACAGAGCAGAAGAUGUUUACAAGAUAAAGCGAGGCCUGUAAAAACGAUCAUAGGAAUUUCAAUGAACCUGUAGCAGACUGACAUAAGAUAUCAAAAUAACAUUUCACUGUUCUAAUGAGCAAAUUAAUGCUAUUCUAGAAUUUGAUUCAUUGGACUAUAACAAGGGCAUCAAUGCUGAUCCCUUUUGACCUGUACUUAACCAGCUUCUCUCAGCAGCCACAGGGGUCUUAACCUCAGAAUGGAGAUUUCCAAAUAUAAUUCCAAUUAAUAAAUGGUUUAUUUAAUGGUGGAGUGUGUUGUCCAUGAAAAGUCUUUUAAGCAUUUCAGAGAGACUAAUUUCUAUUAUAUAUUAAAGCAAUACUAGCCGUGUGUUGAAAUCUGCAAGGCUCACUACCUUUUCUCCUAUUAACCAGGUUUUGUUAAUGAUAGUAUAUUUUAAUUUAUUGUACUGGUUUAUCAUACACCAUGUAUAGACAAAUGUAGAAAUUAUAUGUUCAUUGCAAA